CCUACGGGUGGCUGCAGUGAGGAAUAUUGGUCAAUGGACGCAAGUCUGAACCAGCCAUGCCGCGUGCAGGAUGACGGCUCUAUGAGUUGUAAACUGCUUUUGUACGAGGGUAAACCCCGAUACGUGUAUCGGUUUGAAAGUAUCGUACGAAUUAGGAUCGGCUAACUCCGUGCCAGCAGCCGCGGGAAUACGGAGGCUCCGAGCGUUAUCCGGAUUUAUUGGGUUUAAAGGGUGCGUAGGCGGUUUGAUAAGUUAGAGGUGAAAUGUCGGGGCUCAACCCCGAGACUGCCGCUAAUACUGGUGGACUAGAGAAUAGGUGCGGUAGGCGGAAUGUAUGGUGUAGCGGUGAAAGGCGUAGAGAU
rnacentral:rRNA from 1 species